rnacentral:misc_RNA from 1 species
GUGAAUCAUCGAAUUUUUGAACGCAAAUUGCACUCUCCGGUUUUCCGGGAGAGUAUGCCUGUUUGCGGGUCUGUUUAAAAAAUAAUCGAGGCUGCUGCGGUGGUGGCGCUCCGGAAUUGGGUCAUCUUCCCCCUUUCGGGGUUGUAAGCGCCCUAAAAUUUUUCUUACGAUUUUUCCGAACGUGUCAAAGAAUUUUUCUUGUACGUUCGCGACUUCGAAAUCAUAUUAGGGCCGCCCGCCG